rnacentral:rRNA from 1 species
AGCCUGAACGCUGGCGGCGUGGUUAAGACAUGCAAGUCGAACGGGCGUAGCAAUACGCCAGUGGCGAACGGGUGAGUAAUGUAUCGCUAACGUACCCUUGCGUUGGGGAUAGCCGGGGGGAAACUCCGGGUAAUACCCAAUGACAUCCCCUUGAGGCAUCUCAAGGGGCUCAAAGGAGCAAUCCGCAAAAGGAGCGGGCGAUAUCGUAUCAGCUGGUUGGUGAGGUAACGGCUCACCAAGGCGACGACGCGUAGCCGGGCUGAGAGGUUGGCCGGCCACAUUGGGACUGAGACACUGCCCAGACUCCUACGGGGGCUGCAGUAACGAAUCUUCCGCAAUGCACGAAAGUGUGACGGAGCGACGCCGCGUGUGGGACGAAGUCCUUCGGAUGUAAACCACUGUCAGGGUAAGAAAGUUCUGAUCUACCCAGAGGAAGGCACGGCUAACUCUGCGCCAGCACGCCGAC